AGAGUUUGAUCCUGGCUCAGAAUGAACGCUGGCGGCGUGUUUAAGACAUGCAAGUCGAACGGAGUAACAUGAGUAGCAAUACAAGUGUUGCUCAGUGGCGCACGGGUGCGUAACACGUGAGUUACAUGCCCUGCAGAGAGGGAUAGCCCAGGGAAACUUGGAUUAAUACCUCAUGGUCUCGCAAGAGUAAAGAUGGCCGUAAGGCUGUCACUGCAGGAUUGGCUCGCGGCCUAUCAGCUAGUUGGUGAGGUAACGGCUCACCAAGGCUACGACGGGUACCUGGUCUGAGAGGACGAUCAGGCACACUGGAACUGAGACACGGUCCAGACACCUACGGGUGGCAGCAGUCGAGAAUCAUUCACAAUGGGGGCAACCCUGAUGGUGCAACGCCGCGUGGAGGAAGAAGGUCUUCGGAUUGUAAACUCCUGUCAUCUAGGAGCAAGGCAUGGUGGUGAAUAGCCAACAUGAUUGAUAGUACUAGAAGAGGAAGGGACGGCUAACUUCGUGCCAGCAGCCGCGGUAAUACGAAGGUCCCGAGCGUUAUUCGGAAUCACUGGGCGUAAAGGGAGCGUAGGCGGCGUGGAAAGUCAGAUGUGAAAUCCCAGAGCUCAACUCUGGAACUGCAUCCGAUACUACCAUGCUAGAGUAUUGGAGGGGUAACUGGAAUUCUCGGUGUAGCAGUGAAAUGCGUAGAUAUCGAGAGGAACACUCGUGGCGAAAGCGAGUUACUGGACAAUUACUGACGCUGAGGCUCGAAAGCUAGGGGAGCAAAAGGGAUUAGAUACCCCUGUAGUCCUAGC
rnacentral:rRNA from 1 species